AAACUCAGUGACCAUUAUCAAUGACAACGAGCUUGUUGUUCUUCAAGGAAAAACAGAUGUGAUCUGUGCAUUCCACUGCUUGCAGAUCACACAUUGGCACAAAAUAAAGAUAUCAGAAAGCUUUGAAGCUAUGAUGGAUUUUAAUAUUUAACCUUUGUACCGUUCAUAAUUAUGCAUUCAUCCUAGAUUUUUUACUGUUUCUUUAAGCAGCUCUUUAAACCCAUACUCCUACACAGGUCAAAAUUCCUGUAAGACGCUGAAUUCUCAGUAGCUGUACAGUAAUGUGAUGUACAUGUUUUUAACAAAUGCAGAGAAAUGUACAGUAAAUGUUGAACAGUGUAGUUUGCAUUCACUCUUGUGUCUGGUGUAUUCUCACCUUUGGUGCAGCAAUUUUCCCAUCAUAUCUAAACCGUUUCUUCUCAGUUUUCCCAUCAUAUCUAAACCGUUUCUUCUCAGUUUUCCCAUCAUAUCUAAACCGUUUACUUCUCAGUUUUCCCAUCAUAUCUAAACCGUUUACUUCUCAGUUUUCCCAUCAUAUCUAAACUGUUUCUUCUCAGUUUUUCCAUCAUCUCUAAACUGUUUCUUCUCAGUUUUCCCAUCAUAUCUAAACCAUUUCUUCUCAGUUUCUGUCAGGGGAUGCAAAGGUUUGUCCUUAUCCUUCUGUAAAAAAUAUAUUUAUCCCUAUCCAUAAACCAGUUCAUUUUCAAAUAACGUUCUAUUAUUUUACUUCAGUGAGAAGUUCUUUUAUACAUUUGUUAUGUAACAAAAUCUUUGUAUGCAUGAUCGGUUAAAAAAGACGAUAUUGAGAAGCUUCACAUCUGUUUAGGUGGAGUGACAAAUGAAGCAUCUUCAUAAGAUAAAGGAUUUAGGAUUUUUCUUAAAUUACUAUUUUCUUUUUAAAGUGUGGUAUCCUAAAAGUACAAUUUAUCUUUAAUUACAAUAUUCCUUUUGUAGUGCCCUACUUUGGACCAAGGCCAAUGGUGAAUAUUGUUCAAUUUGGGAUGCAUUUUAAGUCUCUAUUAUUGUCCAUUAUGGGAGUGAAUAUCUGUCAUUAUCCUGAGCUCUACGGUCCAGUACUCCCAUUGGAUGACCCAUUAGAUGACCUUACAGUAGAUCUGUCACACUAAGACCUCCCACAGGGACCAUUUCAUAGGCCAAGUCAUGGCCUGUUGAACACAGGGACAAGCUCACUGAGACAGACGCUAUCCAUGACCAGCCGAGUGACCCCAUCUGUAGGGGAUGUGCUGGUCUCACUUCAUCGAUGUGAUUUUCAGUCUACACGACCAGAGCAGCCCCUGCUUGAUUAGUGUACAGAGAUUGAUGCACCUGGCUGUAUCACAGAAACCAGUUUGAACCGGUUAGACUACUUUACCCAGGCAAACCUCAAUCUGUCUCUGCAUUAAUAUAAUGGUGUAAGCUGAGCUAUUAGACACGACACACAAUUACCACAGCGUGCCAUCCUUCACAGAGAGACGCAGGUUACUAGAGUACAUUCCAUUCAGAGUAGGUUCAUCCUGAAAUCAUGCCAUCCUUCACAGAGAGACGCAGGUUACUAGAGUACAUUCCAUUCAGAGUAGGUUCAUCCUGAAAUCAUGCCAUCCUUCACAGAGAGACGCAGGUUACUAGAGUACAUUCCAUUCAGAGUAGGUUCAUCCUGACAUCAUGCCAUCCUUCACAGAGAGACACAGGUUACUAGAGUAAAUUCCAUUCAGAGUAGGUUCAUCCUGACAUCAUGCCAUCCUUCACAGAGAGACGCAGGUUACUAGAGUACAUUCCAUUCAGAGUAGGUUCAUCCUGACAUCAUGCCAUCCUUCACAGAGAGACGCAGGUUACUAGAGUACAUUCCAUUCAGAGUAGGUUCAUCCUGACAUCAUGCCAUCCUUCACAGAGAGACGCAGGUUACUAGAGUACAUUCCAUUCAGAGUAGGUUCAUCCUGACAUCGGUUUCAGAUGUCAACUCAUGCUGACUGGGAAUUCCUAGUGCUUAAUGUGAGCUGCUGUGUUCAUAGCACGGUUAUGAGUUGACAUAACUGGUUGGUGUGUUCAUAGGAGUUGUCAUAAGAACUAGGGGGUUAUAAGAUUAGGACAUGGUAACUGGUAGCUGUGUCUAUAAGGGGUUAUGAGCUGUCAUGGGGAGGAUGAGGGAAGGAAAUGGAGUGCGUGAGUCUGUAAUGAAUGAACACUGGGGCCCUGGAUCAGGAGUGACCAAUAAUAAAACAACAUUGGUUUAAAGUAGUGCCAUUAAAAGCUGUUUAAUACAUUUUAGGAGCUGUUGAAAUAAAUCCUAUAAUGUAUCAGAGUAGGAUUUAAAAUAAUGAAGAACUGAAUGUAAAAUCUAAAGAAAGCCUUAGCCAGGUGUUUCAUGUGCUGCUGUUAAGUUGUGUUGCUGACUGGCUUUAACACUUUCUGGAUUUCAUUAAGGCAGCUGAGUAGCGCUAGCUUCAACGCAAGGCCUUAUGGGGAGGCGUUAUGUCUAAGGAAUGCUAGCUUUGUCAAAACACUGUUUUUGCUCUCUUCAUAUGGUACUGAAGUUGGUCUGUAUGUUUAAAUUAACAAUGAUUUAUUAACUCUGCAUCUAUGCCAAAAACUCUACUGCAUCUUUCUGAGAUUCUGAAGUUUUGGUGUGUUCUGCAUCCAAUUUAAACACUACUUCUGUGCACUGUACAUAUAAUUAAUUGUAAUAAAACAAACAUUUAAUUGUC